CCUACUUGCUUUAGAAGCAAGACAAAAAAGGAAAAAAAGUUAUUGGUAGAUAAGUGUGCUAGGGACAGAAGGAAACUUCCCUCCUUUCUGAAAGUAUUCCAUGUUAAUAUACAUUUUAUUUAUUCUGAGUUUGUUCUAAAGAAAGUAGGAACUUUGGAUUUGCAACAUUGCAAAGUUUAUACUUAGGAUUUUAAAUGCCUUUGAGAUUAAAACAUACAUUGCAGGACGCAAAAACUUACAAUAAUUAAAAUUGUAAAAGGGCACGUACUGCAUUGUUUGGCCAUGCUCUCAGUUAACGCAAACUCUGGUUGCAAAUGGACUUGAUGUUUCUUGCCUUCACUGUCAGGUUCAGCAGCAAGCCUGCAGGUGUCCCAGUGACGCCUGACCAGUGAGCUGGACUUUGUUCUGCUCUUCACGGUGAGGAGUGUUGCAUGGUGUGGGGUCUGUGCACUGGCACCUACUACAGGAACCUCAGCAACAAUGGUUUUGCACAAACAGUAGAGAACAGUGUUGGGUGACUGCAUCAUUAGUUGUAACAUUCUGGCAGCUAAGUUGCUACUUGCAGAAGGUUAAAAUGUAAAACUUUUCAAUAUUUACUCAGAAUAGUAUAACUUAUACACAAAUACUUGUAUUUUUAUUCAUUUAUUCAUCUGCUCACUUUUUAAUGUAUCUGUCACUUAACUGUUUCUCGCAGUGUUUUUCAGCUUGAUGUUUCUCAAGCUAAUUCCUGAAGGCAGUUGUUUAAUUAAGCAUUCUACCAUAGAGUAAUACACACCCUUGUUAGAGCUUUGGUUACUGUUGUAUGUUAUAGUAAGUCCAUUGCCUAUUCAGUUUAUUCUUAGCCCUGAUUGAGUUAUUGCUACUCCUUCUCUGCCCUUUCCUACUUUCACUCCCUCCCCCAGGCCUCCAGCACAUCUGCUCAGUGGUGCUGUGCUGUCACAAGACGAAGCAGGUGUAUUAUUGCAUAAUGAAUUUUGUGUACAUGUUUUUGGAAUGGUGAGAUCAGCUGAAGGGGGUGUGUUCAUAACAGUGUAUAUUGUUAGGAGCUGUGUCCCAGGACAAAAAGGUGAAUGACUGCACUUGAGAAGUCCUGCAGAAAGCCGGAUUCAUUGUUGCUGUGAGCUGUAUACACUGGUGAACAUCUCCAGCUUCCACUUCACUGUUCUCCCUGUGAACAGUUUACCAGUGCCAUGCUGAAAAGACAUCCAAGUGAUAAUAUGAAUGAAGUCUUAAAAUAUAGAAUAUUUUUACUUCUAUAUAAUCUAAUGACCACAUUGUGCAUCUUUUGUAACACUGUCUCUUGUCAUGAUUAACACUGAAAUAGCAUGUUUAAAGGUUGCCUAUACUUUAAUAGAGUCAGUUGGGGAAAACUGGAUUUUCCCUCUGCUGUAUGAUUGUUCCUUGAAGGGUAAAUUGCUAAUUUUAUACUGUGUAAUUCUGUUCUUUACAAAAUAGGUAUCACUAUUCUGUAUUAAAACUGUUGGUCAGAAAAUGAUCUGCUGUUCAAAUACAGUCUUGCAUAACUAAUCUUUAGUAUGGGAUGAUUUUGAUACUGUCUGGAGUUUUGCACUGGAUAUUAAAUACAUUGGUAUUGGCAUCAUAUAUUAGAAGAAAAUAAGUAGUAUCUGGUUUGAUUUUUAAUAUUUGGGGACUUUUUAAAAUCAGUAUUUCAAUUUGUCUAAUAAUCCUUUGUAUUUUUAUUUACUUUUUAAAGCAAAUAUCGGUCAGAAUAGUGUUCAUUCUAAACUGGUAUUUGUGUGAAUUUGCAUAUAUGGCUUCACAAACUAGGACUAGAGUUUAACAAAGGGGAAAACAUCUGGAUCCAUUUACUAGGUGAAGAGUGAUCCAUCUGGUGUAAGAAUGACCAGUGUGUGGACUUCAGGAAAAAAAGAAAAACAACAACUCUGUAUUCUAAAAAGCUUUAAAAGAACAAUUCAGGGGAUAUUAAAGGUAACUGUUAGUCAUUGUCUCUAUAUGCAGUAAAAUUUUAUGAUCCCUUCCUAGUGAAAUAUGAGAAUUCACGAUAGUUAUUCAAAAUGCUGUUUCCUUUUCCCCUUGGACAUAAAUUGUGAUGCUGUUAUUUUUUUUGUUUUAUUAUGACUUCACUUUAUGCUCCUAAACUCUAGGAUGUAUCUGAAUCUUUCCAUUGCUUCCCCCCACCUUCCUCCCACAUACACAAGUCUGUGCCCUUACAUGUAUGUGUUUAAUUUUUAGAAAGUAUAAUGUUGUAGUAAUUCAAGUGCGUGAUUUAAAGUAAUCAGUUCACUUUGAUUCUUAAUAAGUUUUCAAAAUUUCCUUUUCCACAGAUGAUUAUGGGGAAAGAUAAUUACCAAUUAAUUGAUAAGCACGCUGUCCUCUGCUGUAAAAAGUCUGAAUAGAUACUGUGUAUGUUUUUAUGUCCAUGAACUUGAGCUACUCGUGUGCAAUUACGUGUAUGGGAAUGGAGUAGUGUUCAUGAUUUGUAUCUACAUCAUCAUAUGGAUGUAUAUUUAUUAAUAAAGUCAUUACUUUAAAACCA